GUACUUUCUGGGAGCUUCGCGGCCGGCUGUCGGCUGAGUCCAGGCGCCAUGGAGGAUGAAAAGCGGCUGCUGCCGAUUAAAGAGGCCCUUCAGCUGGCGCAGCAGCCGCGCCGCAAUCAGGAAAGCUGGUGGUGGCGCUGAGCCGCACCCACAGCGAGGUAAGCGCAGCCCCGGCCUCCGCCGCCCCUCGCCCUCUCGGCCCAUCUGUGUGACCCCCGAGCGCUCUCUAGUAAUUCUAACAGUAUUUGUAAGAGAUGGUGGAGAAUUUUGAAUUUUAGUAUCAUUGUACCUUAUUUACGUGGAGGUCCGUACCGUAUUUAAUAAUCAUAGUAGUCUUGUGUUCCUUCAGGUUAGCAGUUCACUGAUUUUUAACAUAAAUCUGCAUUUCACCAUAUGGACUUCAAAACGUAUGUAAAUACGUAUUUCUGUUUCUGCCCUGUAAGGAUUUUAUUAAAACACAUUUCUUAGUUAUUAACAAAAUAAGCGCAAAGAAGUACAUGUUUGUUAAUAAACCGUUUUUCAGGUUGCUAUAUUUACUGCUUUUACAAUUUUAAGAAAUAGAAAACAAUGGUAGAUUUUUUUUUAAUUGAAAAAUUUUUCAUUUCAACUCUUAAGACUUCACAGGAUGUUGUCAGUCUUUCUUGCCCUCCCAACUGCUAAGUUUUUCACUUGCAGAAUUGAACAAAGACAGAUUUAAAGAUGUUUCUACUUCUCUCGGUGAUUUUUUUUUAAACUGUUUUUUGAUUAGUAAAUAUGUAUUUGACGUGGCUCAAGCUGAGUUAAAAGAAAUGCAAGACUCAGUACCUACUUUCCAUCCAGUACUCGUCCUCAUAGUCUUCUACAGAUUCAACAAUGUGAAGAAGAAUCAAAAGAAUCCUUUGUGAUGAAACUAUGCUGCCUUGCUCCAUGACAGAAAAAACUCAGAAAAAGAAGAGACAUGGGUAGAUGAUUACUUAAGUGUAUUUUCUAUAAUAAUUUCUUCUGAAUGGACAGGUAAAAGUUAUUAGAGAGUAAAGAUUUUAGUUUGAAUAAUUAUUACUAUUUUGGGAAUUCUGAGGUUAGUCCUGGGGAUAGACUUUCAUCAGUGUAGUUUGUGAAGGAUUUGUUUUGUAUUUAUGAUUGUCAAUAAAACUUUUAUGAAACAUU